UUUGGAUACUUGCCUCGUGUC
rnacentral:siRNA from 1 species